ensembl:lncRNA
GAUUUUUGUAAUAGAAAUUUGCAACCAGUAGGGGGGGUUUAAAUCCACCAUAUGGGUCCAUGAAAAACUAACAAUGCCAGCUAACAUUGAGUGAUCACCCCACAUCAUUUUCUAUGCAUUAUCCAGUGACACCCAAUAACUCCCAGUGAUAACAUAUCAAGGAAAAAGGGCUCAAUUACCUUUAUUAAUUGCAUUUUACAGCAUAGUAAGAUGAGCCGGUAGUAUUAAAUAUAAAACCUCUACAGCAGUAAUUGAUCUAUCACAAAGCAUGGACAUUCUGUAUUUCCACAGUCUUCCAGCAUUUCCCUGCAUUUGCCAAAUUGUAAUAUCCUUUUACUGCACUGGGUGACAUGAGUUAAACAUGUUUUCAAUAUAACCCCCAUUUCUUUGAAUCAGAAUCUGUUAUGUUGGCCAUGAAUGUGAACUCAUACAAGGAAUAACUUAGCUGUCAAAGUACAAAAACUAUCAUGCAGCCAUUAAAAGUGCUAUGUACAAUUACAGAUAUGUGUAAAAGAGCAUGUUUAAAGUCAAAUCAGUACAGUUAUUAGAGUUAUUGGCACCAUAUAUACACAAGGUAGGCAGACAAUAGUUAAAUCGAGCAGAGAGCAAUGUUUCUAGGAUGAGAUGUACAACAAUGGAGACAUUGUAAAUUAUUUUUGCAAUUUCAACAGUAUUUUACUUUAAUAUUUACAGCAAAAUACUGUUCCUACUGCAAAUAGCAAAGAAUUAUGGGAAAAUAUAAGCUCACUACUGUAUAUGUUCUCUACAGCAAUCAUCCUGCCUGGGAAAAACUGUCGAAUGGCAAGAGAGAGUUUAAAUUACGGCUACAAAUGUUUUUGUGGAACACAAAGUAAACAGACAAAGAAAAAGCUGAUCCAUCACAAAAGUGUACAGAACAUAACAUGGUGCAAGGUUGGGAUUCACAAAUUCCAGUGUGAGGACACAUCAGGAACUCCUUGGGUUUCUACAUCCUAGACUCCUCCUCACAUCUCAGUCCCUCCCACCAGAGCAGCGAGCAGAGGAGCUGAUGAAGAAUCACAAGGAGUUGGGCAAUGAGCAUUCAACGAAAUCAGACAUCCUUGCCUCAGAGCCUUUGUUUCAAAGCGACUUGGGUUUCCCAGAGACUAUGGGUUGAGGAGGAAUUGGAAGUUUGUCGGCUUAGACCUGGUGUCAUUCCAUCAGUGUUAAACUUCCCGGCUCAUCUUGGAAGAGUACGUGCCAGAAAGACCACGACCAAGCAGCCUUGAGAUCUUAGGCAGCGUCUCCCUGAGGUCCCUCUCUAUCUCCCCACACAUCCACCAACCACUGGAACACAUCUCCAAAGUUCUGCAGGGCCAGCUCAGCUUCCCCUCAGAAGAAGUGCCGCCACCUGCCAGAUGAAGGAGCCUUUUGAGAGGCAGCUGGCAUCGUGAUUGGACUGUACUUUGGUCUGUUCCAAUCCAGCUUCAGCUCCAGAGACGGCAGGCGGGACGAGUCAACGGAGGCCUGGUGGACGAAGGCAUGCAGCUGAGUACAAUCCAGAAAACAACAGAGGAGGAGUGCAGUGGCCCAGGGCCAGAACAACCAGAGUAGCAUCGUAUGUCUCUUAGAAAACAUCAUAGUAUAGCCUUUGGUAUGAAAAAACGCCAUCAUAUACAUCGUAUAUUGUACAAAUAACAAGUCAAAGGAAAGAGACAUACAUUGUAGAAUUGUAGUAAUUGUGGG